AGUGAACGCUGGCGGUAGGCCUAACACAUGCAAGUCGAACGGCAGCACAGUAAGAGCUUGCUCUUACGGGUGGCGAGUGGCGGACGAGUGAGGAAUACAUCGGAAUCUACUUUUUCGUGGGGGAUAACGUAGGGAAACUUACGCUAAUACCGCAUACGACCUACGGGUGAAAGCAGGGGAUCUUCGGACCUUGCGCGAUUGAAUGAGCCGAUGUCGGAUUAGCUAGUUGGCGGGGUAAAGGCCCACCAAGGCGACGAUCCGUAGCUGGUCUGAGAGGAGGAUCGGCGACACUGGAACUGAGACACGGUCCAGACGCCUACGGGAGGCAGCAGUGGGGAAUAGUGGACAAUGGGCGCAAGCCUGAUCCAGCCAUACCGCGUGGGUGAAGAAGGCCUUCGGGUUGUAAAGCCCUUUUGUUGGGAAAGAAAAGCAGCAGGUUAAUACCCCGCUGUUCUGACGGUACCCAAAGAAUAAGCACCGGCUAACUUCGUG
rnacentral:rRNA from 1 species